rnacentral:rRNA from 1 species
GACGAACGCUGGCGGCGUGCUUAACACAUGCAAGUCGAACGGAAAGGCCCCUUUGGGGGUACUCGAGUGGCGAACGGGUGAGUAACACGUGAGUAACCUGCCCUUGACUUCGGGAUAACUUCAGGAAACUGGGGCUAAUACCGGAUAGGAAUCCUUGCUGCAUGGUGUGGGUUGGAAAGCUUCGGCGGUUUUGGAUGGACUCGCGGCUUAUCAGCUUGUUGGUGGGGUAGUGGCUUACCAAGGCUUUGACGGGUAGCCGGCCUGAGAGGGCGACCGGCCACAUUGGGACUGAGAUACGGCCCAGACGCCUAAGGGAGGAAGCAGUGGGGAAUAUUGCACAAUGGGCGGAAGCCUGAUGCAGCAACGCCGCGUGCGGGAUGACGGCCUUCGGGUUGUAAAACGCUUUCAGCAGGGGCGAAGCUUGUGGUGACGGUACCUGAAGAAGAAGCACCGGCUAACUACGUG